AACUUCUCAGCUUCACCUGGACCACAGGGAAACCCCCGCUGCUAGCUCUCAAACAGCGCGCGCCAGGCCUCCUCGCUGCGCCCCAAUGGCCAGAAGGGGGCGCCCGAACUCAACGUAACGGCCCAACCGACACCGCCCACCUGCGGGAGCCGCCUGGCCGCCCUGCGACUCGCGCCCCGGCGAACCGCGACUUCGCAGGCAGCGGGGGAGGCGCCGCCGGCAUCCGGGACCGCGUGGGGCCGCCAGGACAGCGAGCAGACUCUCCCAUGUCGAGCCUGACGGCCGAGGGGGAGCCGUGCCGCACUGGGCCCCGAGCCUUUCGUGUUCCGGGUCGGCCCCUGCGUGGAUCCUCUCCUUGGUCGCGCAGUGUUCCAGCCCGAGCGGUUUACAAAAGGGCGCGCGCGUUUCCUCGGGACGCGGGGCCCGAACCGAGAGCGCGCCGCGCGGGGUCUGUUUGCAGACCCAGGAUUGUGUCUGGGGAGAAGGACACGAGUUCAGGGAAAGGGGUUACGCGUCUACAGUCUGGACACAAAUCAGGGCGAUGGUGGACAUGACCUCUACCGCGGAGAAGGAGAGAACAAAGACCAGAGGUGGUUGAUGGACAAGAAGCAACCGUACGAGCCAGCAGACCGUCGUCCCUGACUGAUUGGCCUAUGAAGGACAAUUUGGAAAAACCGAAGACGGAGGUCAGAGGCAGUGACUCCACUUGGCCCUUCAGUGGCAUUGGCGCCGACCCCAUGGAUGUAGAAGACUGUGGAGAGACCUUUAGAAUGUUCGGUCGUGUUGGCUUCAAUGGGCUGAAUAGUGGUCCCGGGUGAGCCCAGGAAACUUGCAUCCUUGUGACAAAUCGCAGAGCCCACCUGUGGCGCAGGCAGGUGUGUGUCCUGAAGAAGAUACCCCACGACUCUACCGAGCACACGAUGAUCACCAGUUAUUCGCAUUGAGUACACGAUCCUGCACAAUGUCCUCAAGAAUGGCUGUAAAGAAGGAUUUACCCGAAAAGGAGUUUGGCAGGCAUUGCUCUUGUGCUCAGAGACACCCUCCCCCUCAACCCCCACCUGCUCCGCCCACAAGAAAACAUGUACACACACUCGCCCAGAUGGCACCAAGUUGAGGUCACCUCAUCAGUGUUCUAGUCAGUCACCAGCAGGUGAGGACUGAGUCAGGUACUGGGAGAGAAGAGCAAGGAAUGGAAGCCGCCUGAGUAGUGGUGACAGAGACCUUGUUCCUUCCGGCCCAAGGGUCCUUCUUUUGUUACUCCCUCUUCAUUUGUUACUCUCCUUCACCCCUCCUCGCUCUCUCCUCACUUUGCUCCGGGUGCUGUGUGUCUGCAGGGUGAGCAUUCCCGUCUUUGAUGACCGGGGACCCAUGUGCCCCGCUGUGAUGUUGAGCCAGGCAAGGUCUCAGGGUGACCAACCAGCAGGGAGAAUUGACUUUUGAGUUCAAAGUUUGUUUCCAAACCGAUGGAUAUCACAGACAGUGCCCACCUCUGAGUAGCACCUCCCAUAGUCUCAGGCCUUAGCACAUCCACCUCAGGACCUCGCUUAGCAGAACCUUCGCCCCGCCCCUGCCCAGUACUCACCGACUUCUGUGUCCCCCGUAUUUCAGCUACUUCUCUAACAUCUGAAAAAGACAAGCUUUAGAGGAAGAUUAUCCAGUCUCUGACCCCCUUCGGAGCUGGGCUGCCUGGAGGGCAGGAGAGGAGGUGACCCGUGUCAUGGCUUGCUUUUCUCAUCCAUAAUUUUGAAUCCAGUUCCCUUCCAGUGGCUUAGAGAGUGACAUGAGUGUUACUGGAAGUCCAUUUCUUUCCUGAACCUGUAAACAGUGUUUUCUCCUUUCCCUCUCAGCUUUGCUGAACCAAUUUCAUCAGCUGCCCCCUCUGCAGCUACCUCCCAUCAGGAGGGGAAAGUGAGAACAUGUCCUGCUUGGUCAACCUCAAUGCACCCAUGGUCCGUGGUUCCCAACAGACCACCGCCACCACCAGUGCUUUACCAGAGCAGAGUCCCAAGUGCUGUGUCCCCUGCUGGCCCAGAGCAA